ensembl:lncRNA
CAUCACUCAAAACGAGGUCCUCCAUCACAAUGCCACACUGGGUCUGUACAACACCGGCCAUAUGCUCACUUUUCUGGAGGCAAUUUACACAAUGUUUGUCCCUGAUCCAGAUCAGGAGCCUGAUAGAUUUGUGGUUUUAUGGGACAAUGUUAGUUUUCACCGGGCUGUUCUGGUCCAAAACUGGUUUGCCACCCAUCCACAAUGUGUAGUUUUGUACCUACCCCCAUAUUCACCUUUUCUAAAUCCCAUAGAGGAAUUCUUCUCAGCCUGGUGCUGGAAAGUGUAUGAUCGCCAACCCUAUGCCCGCAUGCCGCUUCUCCAGGCAAUGGAGGACGCAUGUGGGGACAUAGAGGUUGCCUCUGUCCAAGGCUGGAUACCCCAUGCUAGGAGAUACUUCCCUCCAUGUGGGGACAUAGAGGUUGUCUCUGUCCAAGGUUGGAUACACCAUGCUAGGAGAUACUUCCCUCCAUGUGGGGACAUAGAGGUUGUCUCUGUCCAAGGAUGGAUACACCAUGCUAGGAGAUACUUCCCUCCAUGUUUGGCAAGACAAAACGUAUCUUGUGAUGUGGAUGAAGUAUUGUGGCCAGACCCAGGCCGUAGAAGAUAUGUAGCGUAGCUUAGCUUAGCCCUCCAAUUCCUGGACUGACCCCCUGGGACGCCACACACACAAUUGUGUUCUUUACUGUAUUCUAAAGAAUAUACUUUUGGUUUACAUAUGUUUAUGGUGUUGUUGUAUGCUGC